rnacentral:rRNA from 1 species
GUGGGGAAUAUUGGACAAUGGGGGCAACCCUGAUCCAGCAAUGCCGCGUGUGUGAAGAAGGCCUUCGGGUUGUAAAGCACUUUUGUCCGGAACGAAAAGUCCGGGGUUAAUAACCCUGGAUGCUGACGGUACCGGGUGAAUAAGCACCGGCUAACUUCGUGCCAGCAGCCGCGGUAAUACGAAGGGUGCAAGCGUUAAUCGGAAUUACUGGGCGUAAAGCGUGCGUAGGUGGUUUGUUAAGUCUGUUGUGAAAGCCCUGGGCUCAACCUGGGAAUGGCGAUGGAUACUGGCGAGCUAGAGUACGGUAGAGGAUGGUGGAAUUCCCGGUGUAGCGGUGAAAUGCGUAGAGAUCGGGAGGAACAUCAGUGGCGAAGGCGGCCAUCUGGACCAGUACUGACGCUGAGGCACGAAAGCGUGGGGAGCAAACAGGAUUAGAAACCCGGGUAGUCC